rnacentral:lncRNA from 1 species
CGGCCGCGCGGAUCACCGUGGUUCUUGCGGCUCCCGGGCGUGGCCAUUUACAACCCGCCUCGCACCUGCUAGAGAAAAGACCCCGGCCAUGGAUGGGAGACCUAGGACAAAGAUGGAAAAGAGAAUCAACUCUGCCUUAGGCGAACAAUUUACCAUAAUAUUCUGAGACAGGAGUGGAAUAACACCUCCAGCCAUUACCUGCAAAUGAGAGCUGCUUUAGGCGGGCAUUUGAUCGAGCUUCCUGGACUUUAUCUGUCAAUGACUUCCAGGCAUCUGAAAGGAAAUAAAGAAAACCCGUAAGCCAGAAAAUAUG